GCGACCAGGACCCUGGAAGCACAGCACCAGCCUCCGCGGCUCCGGGCCAGCCCGAGGUAACGGCAGCUGGCCCGCCAGGGGGCGCCUCUGUCGGUCCCGGGCUCGCCCGGCCGUGGGCAGGUGACGAGGCGCCCUGUCCCCCGCCCCGCCUCUCGGGGCCCCCGCCCGGCGCGCGCCCGGCGCUCGGGUGCCGGGCGAGAGAUUAAACGGCGGGAGGGGUGGGGAUGGGACGCGAGGGGUCACGUCAAAGCGGCGUAGACAAAGGGCGGGCGCGCGCACGUCUUUACGCACGCCUCGGCCGGCGGCGGCGGCCAAGGGCGGGAGGGAUCGUUCACGGAGGGACUGGGAGCCCCGGAGCCUCGCGGUCGCUUUGGCAGCAUGUAAGCAACUUCUUGCCAAGAACCCAGGUCACCGCUGAGAAGGGGGCCUCAGGGAGAA